rnacentral:rRNA from 1 species
GAUGAACGCUGCGGCGUGCCUAAUACAUGCAAGUAGAACGCUGAAGCUUGGUGCUUGCACCGAGCGGAGGAGUUGCGAACGGGUGAGUAACGCGUAGGUAACCCUGCCUCUUAGCGGGGGAUAACUAUUGGAAACGAUAGCUAAUACCGCAUAAAAGUCGACAUUGCAUGAUGUUGACUUGAAAGGUGCAACUGCAUCACUAAGAGAUGGACCUGCGUUGUAUUAGCUAGUUGGUGAGGUAACGGCUCACCAAGGCGACGAUACAUAGCCGACCUGAGAGGGUGAUCGGCCACACUGGGACUGAGACACGGCCCAGACUCCUACGGGAGGCAGCAGUAGGGAAUCUUCGGCAAUGGACGGAAGUCUGACCGAGCAACGCCGCGUGAGUGAAGAAGGUUUUCGGAUCGUAAAGCUCUGUUGUAAGAGAAGAACGAGUGUGAGAGUGGAAAGUUCACACUGUGACGGUAACUUACCAAAAG